rnacentral:rRNA from 1 species
UGUGAGAGCAAGAGCCCGGAGAUGGAUUCUGAGACACGAAUCCAGGCCCUACGGGGCGCAGCAGGCGCGAAAACUUUACAAUGCGAGAAAUCGUGAUAAGGGAACCCCGAGUGCCCGUAAAUUCGGGCUGUCCGCCAGUGUAAAUAACUGGUGAAGAAAGGGCCGGGCAAGACCGGUGCCAGCCGCCGCGGUAAUACCGGCGGCUCGAGUGGUGGCCACUAUUACUGGGCUUAAAGCGUCCGUAGCUGGAUUGUUAAGUCUCUUGGGAAAUCCACCGGCUCAACCGAUGGGCGUUCAGGAGAAACUGGCAAUCUAGGGACCGGGAGAGGUGAGAGGUACUCCAGGGGUAGGAGUGAAAUCUUGUAAUCCUUGGGGGACCACCUGUGGCGAAGGCGUCUCACUAGAACGGCUCCGACAGUGAGGGACGAAAGCUGGGGGAGCAAACCGGAUUAGAUACCCGGGUAGUCCCAGCCGUAAACGAUGCGCGUUAGGUGUAUCGGUGACCACGAGUCAUCGAGGUGCCGAAGGGAAACCGUGAAACGU